AAGUGGGAGCUUCGGCGC
rnacentral:snRNA from 1 species